rnacentral:rRNA from 1 species
CUACGGGAGGCAGCAGUGGGGAAUAUUGCACAAUGGGCGAAAGCCUGAUGCAGCAACGCCGCGUGAGGGACGACGGCCUUCGGGUUGUAAACCUCUUUUAGCAGGGAAGAAGCGAAAGUGACGGUACCUGCAGAAAAAGCACCGGCUAACUACGUGCCAGCAGCCGGGGUAAUACGUAGGGUGCAAGCGUUGUCCGGAAUUAUUGGGCGUAAAGAGCUCGUAGGCGGUUUGUCGCGUCUGCUGUGAAAAUCCGAGGCUCAACCUCGGACCUGCAGUGGGUACGGGCAAACUAGAGUGCGGUAGGGGAGAUUGGAAUUCCUGGUGUAGCGGUGGAAUGCGCAGAUAUCAGGAGGAACACCAAUGGCGAAGGCAGAUCUCUGGGCCGUAACUGACGCUGAGGAGCGAAAGCGUGGGGAGCGAACAGGAUUAGAUACCCCCGAGUC